UGAACGCUGGCGGCGUGCCUAAUACAUGCAAGUCGAGCGAACAGAUAAGGAGCUUGCUCCUUUGACGUUAGCGGCGGACGGGUGAGUAACACGUGGGUAACCUACCUAUAAGACUGGGAUAACUUCGGGAAACCGGAGCUAAUACCGGAUAAUAUUUCGAACCGCAUGGUUCGAUAGUGAAAGAUGGUUUUGCUAUCACUUAUAGAUGGACCCACGCCGUAUUAGCUAGUUGGUAAGGUAACGGCUUACCAAGGCGACGAUACGUAGCCGACCUGAGAGGGUGAUCGGCCACACUGGAACUGAGACACGGUCCAGACUCCUACGGGAGGCAGCAGUAGGGAAUCUUCCGCAAUGGGCGAAAGCCUGACGGAGCAACGCCGCGUGAGUGAUGAAGGUCUUCGGAUCGUAAAACUCUGUUAUUAGGGAAGAACAUACGUGUAAGUAACUGUGCACGUCUUGACGGUACCUAAUCAGAAAGCCACGGCUAACUACGUG
rnacentral:rRNA from 1 species